rnacentral:rRNA from 1 species
CCUACGGGUGGCAGCAGUGAGGAAUAUUGGUCAAUGGCCGUAAGGCUGAACCAGCCAAGUAGCGUGAGGGAAGACUGGCCUAUGGGUUGUAAACCUCUUUUAUGCGGGGAUAAAGGUGUCCACGUGUGGAUGUUUGCAGGUACCGCAUGAAUAAGGACAGGCUAAUUCCGUGCCAGCAGACGCGGUAAUACGGAAGGUACGGGCGUUAUCCGGAUUUAUUGGGUUUAAAGGGAGCGUAUGCCGGUCGUUAAGGGUAGCGUGAAAUUUUGUGGCUCAACCAUGCGAGUGCGGCGCAAACUGGAGACCUUGAGUGCGCGGAAGGCAGGCGGAAUUCGUGGUGUAGCGGUGAAAUGCUUAGAUAUCACGAAGAACCCCGGUUGCGAAGGCAGCCAGCCGCAGCGUUACUGACGCUGAAGCUCGAAAGCGCGGGUAUCGAACAGGAUUAGAUACCCGGGUAGUC